rnacentral:tRNA from 1 species
AAUAAAGUGCCUGAAAAAAAGGGUUAUUUUGAUAGAAUAAAUUAUGUUUAAUUAACCUUUAUUA